UACAGAGGUCUCAAGCGUUGUUCGGAAUUACUGGGCGUAAAGGGCUCGUAGGUGGCCAACUAAGUCAGACGUGAAAUCCCCAGGCUUAACCUGGGAACUGCGUCUGAUACUGGAUGGCUUGAAUUCGGGAGAGGGAUGCAGAAUUCCAGGUGUAGCGGUGAAAUGCGUAGAUAUCAGGAGGAACACCUGUGGUGUAGACAGCUUACUGGACCACUUCUGACGCUGAGACACGAAAGCGUGGGUAGCAAACAGG
rnacentral:rRNA from 1 species